AGACCAUGAGUUGGGCAUUGAACUAAGAGUUUCUUGAACCUCACCCAUGUUUCGUGGAUGGGUUCACAUUCUAAUAGCUUAAAACCUUGAAUGUUAUCUUUGAGUUU
rfam:Solanum tuberosum cultivar DM 1-3 516 R44 scf00002_354, whole genome shotgun sequence.